CGCGUGUCGCAGGGGGGGCGCGUGCGCGGGGAGGGGGAGGGGGACACGGGACGCACACGCGUGUCGGCGGGGACACGGCGCCGUGGGGGGGGGCGCGUCCCUGCCCUUAGCGUGUGCGGCCACACGCGUGUGCGGGUCCCGGUCGCAUGUGCGCACGCGUGUCAGUGCGUGUGCGUGUCCUGCUCACGUGUGUGAGUCCCCCGGGCUGUUUGCACACGCAUGUGUGUGUCCUGGUCACAUGUGCAUGUGUCCCAGUCGCGUGUGCACACGCGUGUCAGUGCGUGUGCGUGUCCCGGUCGUGUGUGCGUGUGUCCCAGGCCGUGUGCACACGCGUGUGUGUGUCCUGGUCACGUGUGCGAGUCCCCCCCAGGCCAUUUGCACACGCAUAUGCAUGUCCCAGUCACAUGUGCACAUGCGUGUCGGUGCGUGUGCACGUCCCGCUCACAUGUGUGAGUCCCCCGGGCUGUUUGCACACGCGUGUGCGUGUCCCGGUCACGUGUGCGUGUGUCCCGGUCGCGUGUGCACACGCGUGUCGGUGCGUGUGCGCGUCCUGGUUGUGCAUGCACACGCGUGUGCACGUCCUGCUCGCGUGUGCGCGUGUCCCGG
rnacentral:lncRNA from 1 species